UACGUAGGGGGCGAGCGUUGUCCGGAAUUACUGGGCGUAAAGCGCGCGCAGGCGGCCCGCGAGGUGUCACGUGAAAGCCCCGGGCUCAACCCGGGAGGGUCGUGGCAAACCGGCGGGCUUGAGGCCGGUAGAGGUGGGUGGAACUCCUGGUGGAGUGGUGAAAUGCGUAGAGAUCAGGAAGAACACCCGUGGCGAAGGCGGCCCACUGGGCCGGUACUGACGCUGAGGCGCGAAGGCGUGGGGAGCGAACGGG
rnacentral:rRNA from 1 species